GACGAACGCUGGCGGCGUGCUUAACACAUGCAAGUCGAACGGAAAGGCCCUGCUUUUGUGGGGUUCCCGAGUGGCGAACGCGUGAGUAACACGUGAGUAACCUGCCCUAGACUUUGGGAUAACUUCAGGAAACUGGGGCUAAUCCCGGAUAGGAUCCCCCGCUGCAUGGUGGGGGUUGGAACGUUUCGGCGGGGGGGGAUGGACUCGCGGCUUAUCAGCUUGCUGGUGGGGUAGUGGCUUACCAAGGCUUUGGCGGGUAGCUGGCCUGAGAGGGUGACCGGCGACAUUGGGACUGAGGGAAGGCCCAGACUCCUACGGGAGGCAGCAGGGGGGAAUAUUGCACAAUGGACGGAAGCCUGAUGCAGCAACGCCGCGUGCGGGAUGACGGCCUUCGGGGUGUGAACCGCUUUCGCCUGUGACGAAGCGUGAGUGACGGUAAUGGAUAAAGAAGCACCGGCUAACUACGUG
rnacentral:rRNA from 1 species